rnacentral:rRNA from 1 species
AAGUNUGAUGUGGAAGCCCCCGGCUCAGCCGGGGAGGGUCAUUGGAAACUGGGGAACUUGAGUGCAGAAGAGGAGAGUGGAAUUCCAUGUGUAGCGGUGAAAUGCGUAGAUAUAUGGAGGAACACCAGUGGCGAAGGCGACUCUCUGGUCUGUAACUGACGCUGAGGCUNGAAAGCGUGGGUAGCAAACAGGAUUAGAUACCCUGGUAGUNCACGCCGUAAACGAUGAGUGCUAAGUGUUGGAGGGUUUCCGCCCUUCAGUGCUGCAGUUAACGCAUUAAGCACUCCGCCUGGGGAGUACGACCGCAAGGUUGAAACUCAAAGGAAUUGACGGGGACCCGCACAAGCGGUGGAGCACGUGGUUUAAUUCGAAGCAACGCGAAGAACCUUACCAAGUCUUGACAUCCUUUGACCACUCUAGAGAUAGAGCUUUCCCUUCGGGGACAAAGUGACAGGUGGUGCAUGGUUGUCGUCAGCUCGUGUCGUGAGAUGUUGGGUUAAGUCCCGCAACGAGCGCAACCCUUAUUACUAGUUGCCAGCAUUCGGUUGGGCACUCUAGUGAGACUGCCGGUGACAAACCGGAGGGAGGUGGGGAUGACGUCAAAUCAUCAUGCCCCUUAUGACUUGGGCUACACACGUGCUACAAUGGAUGGUACAACGAGCAGCGAACUCGCGAGGGUAAGCGAAUCUCUUAAAGCCAUUCUCAGUUCGGAUUGUAGGCUGCAACUCGCCUACAUGAAGCCGGAAUCGCUAGUAAUCGCGGAUCAGCACGCCGCGGUGAAUACGUUCCCGGGUCUUGUACACACCGCCCGUCACACCACGAGAGUUUGUAACACCCAAAGUCGGUGAGGUAACCAUUNGGA